rnacentral:rRNA from 1 species
GAUGAACGCUAGCUACAGGCUUAACACAUGCAAGUCGAGGGGUAACAAGAUAAAAGCUUGCUUUUCUUGUAGACGACCGGCGCACGGGGGAGUAACGCGUAUCCAACCUGCCUAUAACUAGGGAAUAACCUUGCGAAAGUAAGACUAAUACCCUAUGAUUUCCUUUGAUGACAUCAGGUUAGGAAUAAAGAUUUAGCGGUAAUAGAGGGGGAUGCGUCUGAGGAGCUUGUUGGCGGGGUAAUUGCCCACCAAGGCAACGAUCAGUAGGGGUUCUGAGAGGAAGGUCCCCCAAAUUGGAACUGGGACACGGCCCAAAAUCCUACGGGAGGCAGCAGUGAGGAAUAUUGGUCAAUGGGCGGAAGCCUGAACCAGCCAAGUAGCGUGCAGGAUGACGGCCCUAUGGGUUGUAAACUGCUUUUAUACAGGAAUAAAGUUAGCCACGUGUGGUUAUUUGUAGGUACUGUAUGAAUAAGGACCGGCUAAUUCCGUGCCAGCCGCCGCGGUAA